CGACAGCUUCUGGACACGUGGGGCAAACAAGACAAUGGCGACGCAAACAUGACGACGAAGCAUUAAGGCGUUCCACGGCAAUUCUACGACGUGUGCGCGCACGUAGUCCAAUGAGGGAUGCGAUGACGAGAACGACGAAGUACGUUAUGGAGUCGCAUCGCAAUUGGGCUACGCGUGCGAAACGUGUGGUCGAAAAGGAUGUUGACGAGCGAAGAAGUCGUAGCCCGAGGAAAGACAGAACAGCCACCAGUCAAAGCUAAGGACAGUGGGCAAGGCGGAUGCACCUGGAGACUCAACCGACCGGAUCCAAUGACCAACCUAGCCAGCCGGGAACCGCUAAAUGCGAGCGUGGUCCGUGGUCGCUUGGAAAGAGCCUGCCACCACAGACUCGCUGCCCAAAUUUAGGGAGGCUGCAAGAGCGACGCCAACUGUGCGCCAGUCGUGGCCGUAGGUAGGUGCCUGGGACAACCGCUAGGCAGCCUUUACCCACGGACCCGGUAGGCGUCCUUACCGCCACCCGCUAACUUCGAGCCACUUCGAGCCACUUCGAGCCAUCGGAAGGCACUGCUACUCACAGCCAAAUUCAGUAGCAGUAGACGCGCCACCGUGCGCAGGUCUGCUCCUUACCUUGAUAUCGUCCAUGGAACCACUGGAAGGACGUAUUCAUCGCUAUGCCUGGAGGAUACCUGGCGGAAACGCUACCCUGAGGUGCAGCAGUGCUCAAUUACUCACUCAGAGGCCAUACCAAUUUCUUACGAGACUAUUAAAAGUCAUAAAGCCACAA